GUGUCGGUGUUGGCGUGCACAUCUGUGUACAUGAAACCCCCUGCCUGUGUGUCCUCAGUGCCCUCGUGUUUCCAUCGGAAUCCUCCAGCGAUCCGUUGUGCACCUCUCCCAGCGCGUGUGAGGGUUUGGUGAGCCCCUGACACCUCUGUUGGUGUCUGUGGACGUGACCCAGGCCUUCCUGCGGCGUCCAUCCGUGUCACUGCCCCUGUGUCAGCACUCAUGUUCUUCCCGCACCCUGUGCCUCUGUCUCACGCACAUCUGUGAGUCUGCCCACGUCCUUGUGUCCGUGAGUGUCUCUGCGGUGGUGCUCAUAUGUCGGUGCGCUGCUGGGUGUGUACCUCUUCCCUUGACAGUGUUAGCUCUGCCUCGGGAUGCCGCACGGCUGUGUCCAGCUGAGAAGAAACAGCUUCUUGUGGAUCUGCAGCAGUCCUAGGUUGUCAGUCUGUCUUGGCCUUGACGGCCUCCCUGCUGCCCUCUGCAGCAAGGGUGGAUGGUGGCCCCACCCUCUGUUGGGACACCUGCAGCCGGGCUUCCUCGCCCUCUGCCCCAUGACUCCUCUGCCUGGCUUGUCUGAGGAGAGUGCCUUUGGCCAUCGCUGGACCUUUUCUGGAAUUUGACCCAAGGUGCUCUUCCUGCCGUCUGCAUCUCUGGUUGGGCAGCGCCAGCCUGGACAUGGUUCUGCUCCUGUGCUGACUGUUGGUUGGCCCCAACGGGGCAGUUCUGCACCAUCUGGUGGAGUAUAGGUCACUCAUGCGGCUGCCCUCAACUGGGAGCUACCUGCAGCUGCAACACUUGAGAUGGCCACUCGCCCUCCAGAGCUUCUGCCCAC